rnacentral:rRNA from 1 species
CGCGAAAACUUCACAAUGGGGGCAACCCCGAUGAGGGAAUUCCAAGUGCUAGCACUUUUUGUGUUAGCUGUUCUUUUGUCUAAAAAACAAGAGAAGUAAGGGCCGGGUAAGACGGGUGCCAGCCGCCGCGGUAAUACCCGCGGCCCGAGUGGUGGUCGAUAUUAUUGAGCCUAAAACGUUCGUAGCCGGUCUUGUAAAUCCUUGGGUAAAUCGGCCAGCUUAACUGUCCGAAGUCCGGGGAGACUGCAAGACUUGGGAUCGGGAGAGGUCAGAGGUACUUCUGGGGUAGGGGUAAAAUCCUGUAAUCCUAGAAGGACCACCGGUGGCGAAGGCGUCUGACUAGAACGAAUUCGACGGUGAGGAACGAAGCCCUGGGGCGCAAACGGGAUUAGAUACCCCGGUAGUCCAGGGUGUAAACGCUGCGGGCUUGGUGUUGGGGGUCCUUAGUGGGCGCCCAGUGCCGGAGAGAAGUUGUUAAGCCUGCUGCUUGGGGAGUACGUCCGCAAGGAUGAAACUUAA